GAUAAACGCUGGCAGCGUGCCUAAUACAUGCAAGUCGAGCGAACGGACGAGAAGCUUGCUUCUCUGAUGUUAGCGGCGGACGGGUGAGUAACACGUGGAUAACCUACCUAUAAGACUGGGAUAACUUCGGGAAACCGGAGCUAAUACCGGAUAAUAUUUUGAACCGCAUGGUUCAAAAGUGAAAGACGGUCUUGCUGUCACUUAUAGAUGGAUCCGCGCUGCAUUAGCUAGUUGGUAAGGUAACGGCUUACCAAGGCAACGAUGCAUAGCCGACCUGAGAGGGUGAUCGGCCACACUGGAACUGAGACACGGUCCAGACUCCUACGGGAGGCAGCAGUAGGGAAUCUUCCGCAAUGGGCGAAAGCCUGACGGAGCAACGCCGCGUGAGUGAUGGAGGUCUUCGGAUCGUAAAACUCUGUUAUUAGGGAAGAACAUAUGUGUAAGUAACUGUGCACAUCUUGACGGUACCUAAUCAGAAAGCCACGGCUAACUACGUGCCAGCAGCCGCGGUAAUACGUAGGUGGCAAGCGUUAUCCGGAAUUAUUGGGCGUAAAGCGCGCGUAGGCGGUUUUUUAAGUCUGAUGUGAAAGCCCACGGCUCAACCGUGGAGGGUCAUUGGAAACUGGAAAACUUGAGUGCAGAAGAGGAAAGUGGAAUUCCAUGUGUAGCGGUGAAAUGCGCAGAGAUAUGGAGGAACACCAGUGGCGAAGGCGACUUUCUGGUCUGUAACUGACGCUGAUGUGCGAAAGCGUGGGGAUCAAACAGGAUUAGAUACCCUGGUAGUCCACGCCGUAAACGAUGAGUGCUAAGUGUUAGGGGGUUUCCGCCCCUUAGUGCUGCAGCUAACGCAUUAAGCACUCCGCCUGGGGAGUACGACCGCAAGGUUGAAACUCAAAGGAAUUGACGGGGACCCGCACAAGCGGUGGAGCAUGUGGUUUAAUUCGAAGCAACGCGAAGAACCUUACCAAAUCUUGACAUCCUUUGACAACUCUAGAGAUAGAGCCUUCCCCUUCGGGGGACAAAGUGACAGGUGGUGCAUGGUUGUCGUCAGCUCGUGUCGUGAGAUGUUGGGUUAAGUCCCGCAACGAGCGCAACCCUUAAGCUUAGUUGCCAUCAUUAAGUUGGGCACUCUAAGUUGACUGCCGGUGACAAACCGGAGGAAGGUGGGGAUGACGUCAAAUCAUCAUGCCCCUUAUGAUUUGGGCUACACACGUGCUACAAUGGACAAUACAAAGGGCAGCGAAACCGCGAGGUCAAGCAAAUCCCAUAAAGUUGUUCUCAGUUCGGAUUGUAGUCUGCAACUCGACUACAUGAAGCUGGAAUCGCUAGUAAUCGUAGAUCAGCAUGCUACGGUGAAUACGUUCCCGGGUCU
rnacentral:rRNA from 1 species